rnacentral:rRNA from 1 species
UGGGGAAUUUUGGACAAUGGGCGAAAGCCUGAUCCAGCAAUGCCGCGUGUGUGAAGAAGGCCUUCGGGUUGUAAAGCACUUUUGUCCGGAAAGAAAUCCUUGGCUCUAAUACAGUCGGGGGAUGACGGUACCGGAAGAAUAAGCACCGGCUAACUACGUGCCAGCAGCCGCGGUAAUACGUAGGGUGCAAGCGUUAAUCGGAAUUACUGGGCGUAAAGCGUGCGCAGGCGGUUUGCUAAGACCGAUGUGAAAUCCCCGGGCUCAACCUGGGAACUGCAUUGGUGACUGGCAGGCUAGAGUAUGGCAGAGGGGGGUAGAAUUCCACGUGUAGCAGUGAAAUGCGUAGAGAUGUGGAGGAAUACCGAUGGCGGAGGCAGCCCCCUGGGCCAAUACUGACGCUCAUGCACGAAAGCGUGGGGAGCAAACAGGAUUAGAUACCCUGGUAGUCCACGCCCUAAACGAUGUCAACUAGUUGUUGGGGAUUCAUUUCCUUAGUAACGUAGCUAACGCGUGAAGUUGACCGCCUGGGGAGUACGGUCGCAAGAUUAAAACUCAAAUGAAUUGACGGGGUCAUAGCUGUUUCCU